rnacentral:rRNA from 1 species
CCUACGGGAGGCAGCAGUGGGGAAUAUUGGGCAAUGGGCGCAAGCCUGACCCAGCAACGCCGCGUGAAGGAAGAAGGCUCUCGGGUUGUAAACUUCUUUUAUCAGGGACGAAGCAAGUGACGGUACCUGAUGAAUAAGCCACGGCUAACUACGUGACAGCAGCCGCGGUAAUACGUAGGUGGCAAGCGUUCUCCGGAUUUACUGGGUGUAAAGGGCGAGUAGGCGGGAAAGCAAGUCAGAUGUGAAAACCCUGGGCUCAACCUGUGGCCUGCAUUUGAAACUGUUUUUCUUGAGUAGGGGAGAGGCAGACGGAAUUCCUGGUGUAGCGGUGAAAUGCGUAGAGAUUAGGAGGAACACCAGUGGCGAAGGCGGUCUGCUGGACAGCAACUGACGCUCAUGCACGAAAGUGUGGGUAUCGAACAGGAUUAGAUACCCGGGUAGUC